GAUGAACGCUGGCGGCGUGCCUAAUACAUGCAAGUCGAGCGAACAGACGCGGAGCUUGCUCCUCUGACGUUAGCGGCGGACGGGUGAGUAACACGUGGAUAACCUACCUAUAAGACUGGGAUAACUUCGGGAAACCGGAGCUAAUACCGGAUAAUAUAUUGAACCGUAUGGUUCAAUAGUGAAAGACGGUUUUGCUGUCACUUAUAGAUGGAUCCGCGCCGCAUUAGCUAGUUGGUAAGGUAACGGGUUAUCAAGGCAACGAUGCGUAUCCGACGUGAGAGGGUGGUAGGCCACCCGGGAACGUGACCAGGGUCAAGAGGCCUACGAGAGGGAGCAGAAGGGUACCGUCCGCAGUGGGCGAAAGCCUUACAGAACAACGCCGCGUGAGAGAUGACGGUCCUGCGAGCGUAAUACUCUGUUACUAGGUAAGAACAAAUGUGGAAGUAACUAUGCACGUCUUGACGGUACCGAAUCAGAAAGCCACGGCUAACUACGUG
rnacentral:rRNA from 1 species